rnacentral:rRNA from 1 species
AUUGAACGCUGGCGGCAGGCCUAACACAUGCAAGUCGAACGAGUGGCGGACGGGUGAGUAAUGUCUGGGAAACUGCCUGAUGGAGGGGGAUAACUACUGGAAACGGUAGCUAAUACCGCAUACCAUCGGAUGUGCCCAGAUGGGAUUAGCUAGUAGGUGGGGGAAAGGCUCACCUAGGCGACGAUCCCUAGCUGGUCUGAGAGGAUGACCAGCCCCACUGGCACGGAGCCACGCUCCAGACUCCUACGGUAGGCAGGAGUGGGGAAUAUUGCACAAUUGGCGCAAGCCUGAUGCCGCCAUGCCGCGUGUAUGAAGAAGGCCUUCGGGUUGUAAAGUACUUUCAGCGGGGAGGCGUUACCCGCAGGAGAAGCAACGGCUAACUCCGUACCAGCAGCCGCGGUAAUUC